rnacentral:rRNA from 1 species
CCCUUAGAUGUUCUGGGCCGCACGCGCGCUACACUGACGAAGUCAGCGAGCAUCUCCUACGCCGAAAGGUGCGGGGAAUCUUGUGAAACUUUGUUGUGCUGGGGAUUGAUUUUUGAAAUUCUUGAUCAUCAACGAGGAAUUCCUAGUAAGCGCAAGUCAGCAGCUUGCGUUGAUUACGUCCCUGCCCUUUGUACACACCGCCCGUCGCUACUACCGAUUGAAUGGUUUAGUGAGAUUUUUGGACUGGAACUCUCUUGUUCAGCAAUGAACGAGAGGGACUCUGGGAAGCUAUUCUAACUGUAUCAUUUAGAGGAAGUAAAAGUCGUAACA